UUCCCUGUGUUCUUCACUCGUGAUGCAAUGGCAUUCCCAGAUGUGAUCCAUGCAUUUAAGCCAAACCCUAAAUCACAUAUCCAAGAAGACUGGAGAAUUCUCGACUUUCUCUCACACCAUCCAGAAAGUUUGAACACGAUGACAUUCUGGCUGGAUGAUGUUGGGAUUCCAACUGAUUACAGACACAUGGAAGGGUCAAGUGUUAACACUUUAACUCUAGUUAACAAAGAGGGGAAAACACACUAUGUGAAGUUCACAUGGAAACCCACGUGUGGGGUUAAGUGCUUAAUGGAUGAAGAAGCGAUCAAGAUCGGAGGAGCUAAUCACAGCCAUGCAACACAAGAUCUUUACGACUCCAUUGCAGCUGGGAAUUUCCCGGAAUGGAAGCUUUUUCUGCAAGUUAUUGACCCGGAUCAUGAAGACAGGCUUGACUUUGACCCACUUGAUGGAACGAUGGUAUGGCCGGAAGAUGUGGUACCUUUGCAGCCGGUUGGGCGUAUGGUUUUGAACAAGAACAUUGAUAACUUCUUUGCUGAGAAUGAACAAUUGGCGUUCAAUCCCGGACUUGUUGUCCCCGGAAUCUACUAUUCCGAUGAUAAGAUGCUUCAAGGGAGAAUCUUUGCGUAUUCCGAUACUCAAAGGCAUCGUCUUGGACCGAAUUAUCUUCAACUUCCGGUCAACGCCCCCAAAUGUGCUCAUCAUAACAAUCAUUAUGAUGGAAAUAUGAACUUCAUGCAUAGAGAUGAAGAGGUGGGUUAUCUUUUCAUUUUGUUAUCUUUAAUUAGUUCAUAAAAAUUUGUGGGUUUCAUUAUAAGAAAAAGAUAUAACCAAAAUCAAAACUUUCUAAAAUACAUGCGAUGGAUUUCUUCCAGGUUGAUUACUUCCCUUCGAGGUAUGAUCGUGUUCAACAUGCUCAGAAAUACCCGAUCAAUUCUGCUAGGGUUACUGGAACCCGUGAAAGG
rnacentral:lncRNA from 1 species